ensembl:lncRNA
AUGAGUAGCUGUGCAGCCAGAAAUCUUGCCAGGUCGGACACAAGCUACUUUCAGUGGGACACUGGAUUCUAUGAACAGAAGGAUGGAGUGGCCAUGGGGAGCCCUCUCAGCCCAGUAGUAGCAAAUUUCUAUAUGGAAUACUUUGAAAAACAGGCCCUAGAAACAGCACCAAAAAAGCCAACUGUUUGGUUCAGAUACGUAGAUGACACCUUCACAAUUUGGAGCCAUGGAGAGGAAGAACUCAGCAAGUUCCUGGACCAUCUUAACAGCAUCCACCCAAACAUCCAAUUCACCAUGGAAAAAGAAAAGGAAGGAAAACUGCCAUUUCUAGAUGUUCUGGUCAUCCGCAAACCCAAUCAACAAUUGGGCCACACAGUUUACAGAAAACCUACACACACAGAUAGAUACCUUCAUAAAAACUCCAACCAUCACCCAAGUCAAAAAAGGAGCACAAUCAAAGCCCUGACAGACCGUGCACAAACAAUCUGCGAACCUCACCUCCUCCAAGGUGAACUCAACCACCUAAACUGGGCUCUACAGGCCAAUGGAUACUCCACCACAGACAUCAGAAGAGCUGCAAGGCCAAGAACAAGCCAUGAGAGUCAAGACAAAGAUCCACCCAGAGGAAAGGUGUUCUUACCAUACAUCAAGGGAACUACUGACCGCAUAGGGAAGCUGAUGAAGAAGCACAACCUACAAACUAUCUACAGACCCACGAAGAAAAUCCAACAAAUGCUACGGUCAGCGAAGGACAAGAGGGAUCCUCUCUCUUCUGCAGGAGUCUACCGGAUACCAUGCAGCUGUGGACAAGUCUACAUAGGGACCACCAAACGCAGCGCCCAAACAAGAGUCAAAGAACAUGAAAGGCACUGCAGACUAAUUCAACCAGAGAAAUCAGCCAUAGCAGAGCAUUUGAUGAACCAGCCUGGACACAGAAUACUAUUUGAGAACACAAAAAUGCUGGACCAUUCUAACAACUAUCAUGUCAGACUGCACAGAGAAGCCAUUGAAAUCCACAAGCAUGUGGACAACUUCAACAGAAAGGAAGAAACCAUGAAAAUGAACAAAAUCUGGCUACCAGUAUUAAAAAACUCAAAAAUCAGAACAGUAAAUAAAAAGCAAUACUCUGAAAACAGAGGAUUUCCAGACAUGAAUCAACCAAGGGCAGUUAACGACUCUAAACAAAGGAUGCCCCAGAGGCAGGAAGAAGACAGCAGAUAAGCUUUUCAAUGCUAAUUAAAGUGAUUAACUACACAACAUUCACACUGACCUCUCUCACCCUAGACUUUCCACAGAUAUAUAUUAACCUCUUUGCUUAGUUUUCUCCAUACCUCACAACCUCUGAGGAUGCCUGCCAUAGAUGUGGGCGAAACGUCAGGAGAGAAUGCUUCUGGAACAUGGCCACACAGCCCGAAAGACAUACAACAACCCUGUGAUCCCGGCCAUGAAAGCCUUCGACAACACAAUCUCAAGUCUAUUUUCUUGGUUUAAAUCCUAUUGAUUCAAAGGGGCUUCUGAGGCACCUUCUACGCUGCCACAUAAUUCAGAUUAUCAAAGUAGAUAAUCAUCUGCUUUGAACUGGAUCAUAUGAGUCUACACUGCUAUAUAAUCCAGAUCAAAUCAGAUAAUCUGGAUUUUAUAUGGCAGUGUAGAAGGGGCCUGAGUUAAGUGGCAACCAACUGUCGAUUUUAUACCAUUGUGAACACAGUAUAUCUGCAGUCUCUUAUCUGCAGUCAGAAAUUUUAUUGUUGAUGGAGUGUUCGUCAUUAGGUUUUAAGUCUUUGUUAAUUGACUGUAUCUCUUAUGCACUUAUGUUUAUGUUUAUUAUGUUGUGAUUGCUGUAUGGUAUUUAACUUGUUUCUGUUGUACUGGAAACUUCCCUGAGUCCCUUGAGGAGACAGGGAGGCACAUAAAUAAUGUUUUAUUGUCAUCAUCAUCAUCCAGAAUCCUGCACACUCAGGUCCCUUCUAGACUGUCAUAUAAAAUCCAGAUUAUCUUAUAUGAAAUUAAUUGUAUGGCAGUGUAGGCUCCUAUAAUUCAGUUCAAAACAGAUAAUAUGGAUUAUAUGCUCUGAUAAUCUGGAUUAUAUGGCAGUGUAGAAUGGGCCUCAUAUAAUCCAGUUCAAAGCAGAUAAUGUGGAUUAUAUGCUCUGAUAAUUUGGAUUACAAGGCAGUGUAGAAGGGGCCUUGGUCCAACAUUUCAGUUUCAUCAAUCAGUUUGAGACAAUGCAAAGAAAUGAAAAGCAAAAGACAACAUGCAAAUCUGGUCACAGGUCAACAUAUCCGGAACAGCAGAAAGUUCCUUGCUUCCUUCUUUUGCCAUGAAGAAUAUGAUGGGACUCAUUAAUUCCUUCUGUCUGGAGCAAUCUGUGUGGGCUCACAUGGUGGGACCUCAACAAGCUAUGCAUAAUUCACACAGGGUAGAAACACAGAGAUCGCCCGCUGUCAAAGCAUCUGUGAACUUAUAUCUGGAAUACAUUUAACACUUGCAAGCAUUCUGCAACUGUCAGUGCUUUUACGUUGUAUGCAAUGCAUCCAUCUAAGGCCCCUUCUAUACUACCACUGUACAUCCAGAUUAUCUGCUUUGAACUGGGCUAUAUGGAAGUGUGGACCUAACCCAGUUUAAAGCAGAUAAUGUGGAAUUAUCUGUUUUGAUAAUCUGAAUUAUAUGGCAGUGUAGAUCCAGCCUAACAGUGUGGUUAUCAAGGUACUAACAUUUUGUCUCAGCUGUGAGCUUUGAAUAAC